rnacentral:rRNA from 1 species
UACGUAGGGUGCAAGCGUUGUCCGGAUUUAUUGGGCGUAAAGAGCUCGUAGGCGGUCUGUCGCGUCGGAUGUGAAAACCCAGGGCUCAACCCUGGGCCUGCAUUCGAUACGGGCAGACUAGAGUGUGGCAGGGGAGACUGGAAUUCCUGGUGUAGCGGUGAAAUGCGCAGAUAUCAGGAGGAACACCGGUGGCGAAGGCGGGUCUCUGGGCCGAUAUUGACGCUGAGGAGCGAAAGCGUGGGGAGCGGACAGG